UACCUGCAGCCCGAGUGGUGCUCGUUAUUAUUGGGUCUAAAUCGUCCGUAGUCGGCUGAGUAGAUGCCCGGGUAAAUCGAAGCGCUCAACGUUUCGAAUUCCGGGUAGACCGCUCGGCUAGGGAUUGGGAGAGGUGCAAGGUACUCUGAGGGUAGGGGUAAAAUCCUGUAAUCCUUGGGGGACCACCAGUGGCGAAGGCGUUGCACUAGAACAAGUCCGACGAUCAGGGACGAAGCCCUGGGGCGCAAACGGG
rnacentral:rRNA from 1 species